rnacentral:rRNA from 1 species
CCUACGGGUGGCAGCAGUCGAGAAUCAUUCACAAUGGGGGAAACCCUGAUGGGGCGACGCCGCGUGGGGGAAUGAAGGUCUGCGGAUUGUAAACCCCUGUCAUGGGGGAGCAAAUUAAAAAGAUAGAACCACAAGAGGAAGAGACGGCUAACUCUGUGCCAGCAGCCGCGGUAAUACAGAGGGCUCAAGCGUUGUUCGGAACCACUGGGCGUAAAGCGUGCGUAGGCUGUUUCGUAAGUCGUGUGUGAAAGGCGCGGGCUCCACCCGCGGACGGCACUUGAUACUGCGAGACUAGAGUAAUGGAGGGGGAACCGGCCUUCUCGGUGUCGCCGU